rnacentral:misc_RNA from 1 species
AUAAAUAAGCCACCAAGAUUGUGCUCCUCUCUCGUAAAGACGACAAUCUGUGAUACAAAAUGAUAAGAAAAUGCAAAGAAAAAACCUUGCACAGUAAACACCACAGAGUUAUUUAAAUUGUAGUGCAAUCAAUUUGAAUGGAUAUGUUUUUAAUAAACAUGCAUUUGUUGUGUAACUGAUGUGAGAGUAUGUCAACUAAAAAGGAAUAGUGUUGCUAAAUAUUACUAAUAUCAAUGAUUAAUACGGACAAACGAACGGACAUAUACGGACAUAUAUAAAGUCGAAAACGCUUUUUUAAACUUGUUCAUAAACCCAUAAUCCAUUUUACGUGUCUAUGCUAUAGUGUGAAACACUUUCUACGUUUACAGUGGUACUCCAUCACCCUGUAAAGCUAUCUAAAGUUUCCCCUCGGUUCGCUCAAAUUCCCUCACUCUCCCGCAACUGAUAAGUCUAAAAUUGGCCGAUAAGAGCGAUCGUGGUUAUCAGCGCUCAGUGCUGAAAUCGCCGCGCUCGGUGCCUGGCCUGCCUUCGCAAAGUGGCUGCGCACUACCAAGGCUAAUUGGCCCUGCAAAUCCGCUAAGAACGCGCCGCCCGCCUUCCGACUUUUAGCCAGAUAUCAUAGCCAUUGGUGCAAUUACCAUUGUUCGUUCGUAUUAUUGAGCACCGUUAGUGCUGGAAUGGGUGAAAUGCGCACCAUGGAGAUGAUGACUCACAUCGACCAGUACCUGCGCCGCAUCAUCGAGCUGCAGAUACGGGACGUGGUCAAGCAGAAUCGCGACAAAGAAAGCGUCAAGUCCAUUCUGGGUCGCCACACAAAGAUACUGGUCAAGUAUAUGGUCAAAUUGGAGACGAAAGGCGAUAAGACGGAGAAUCGUGUUCUGGUUUUCACUCCCGUGAGGGUCUAUUUGCUCAGUGCCAAAGUGCCCACCAAGAUCGAAUGCCAUUUCCACUACCUGGACAUUGUGGGCGUCGAGAGCAAGAAGUCCACCCACUUCUCCAUUGUGACCAACGAUCGGCCCUACUCGUUCGUUACCACCGGCGAUGCGGGCAAUUUCAGCUCGAACGCUGAUGUCAUUCUAACCGACCUGGCCUCGGCCAUCAAGCAGAUAUUCCCAACAGUUCCUCUAAAGUACAUCAUCAGAAAGAUUGAUAUACAGCCACCGGAGCGGGAGACCAUAUUCUCCGAGGAAUUCAGACCCUCCGAUCCCCGAAAUGUGGGUCCCUGUGGUGGAUUCAGUGCCCAGUACGCCUGCAUGUGCGAUUUCCACGGCGUUCCCUAUCGCGAGGAGGUGGCUUGGGAUGUGGACACCAUCUAUCUGUCGCACGACACGCGAGUCCUCAACUUGCGCGACUUUGACCACCUGGAGCCAAAAGACUUGAUGGCCAUCGUUUCGGCGCUGGAAUACAACACGUUCUUUCGUGGCCUGAAGGCAGCCCACAUGCGAUUGUCCCACGAGACCCUGGAACGCAUCCUGCACGUCCUUAAGCGUUCGAUGUGGCUGGAAGAGCUGCACCUGGAGGCAUUGGGCUUAAGAUGGGAUUUCCUGAACAAGUUAUCGAUAUCUGUGAUAACGAAUAGCAAUCCCGCCAUUCGCACCAUCGAUCUGAGCCACAAUAUAAUUGAGGAUAAAGGUGCCAUUCAUUUGGCUGGGCCCAUAGCCAAGGUAUCCAAGGGCCUAUGCAAACUGGCCUUGGCCCACUGUGGACUAACUUCGAAGGGCGUCAACCAGAUGUCGCAUUCGCUGACGCUCAAUCAAAGUAUUUCCAACUCGCUCACGUAUCUAGACCUAAGUGGUAAUAGUCUCAAAGAUGAUAUAACCAAUUUGCACAAUUUCCUGGCUCAACCCAAUGUGCUGGAGCACUUGGAUCUCGCCUCGACUGACAUCACGCUGGAAAAUUUGUUUGGAGCUCUGUUGCGCGGCUGCGCCACGCAUUUGGCCCACCUGAACGUGUCGCACAACUCGUUCAGCACGAAGAAGGGCAAGGAGAUACCGCCCUCAUUCAAGCAGUUCUUCACCAGCACGUUCAGCUUAAAGCACCUCAACAUUGCCGGCUGCAAACUUCCCAUGGAGGCAUUGAAGAACCUGCUGCUUGGCCUGGCCUGCAACGAGUCUACAGCCGGACUUUAUCUGGAUCUCAGCAGUAACACGCUGGGCGCCCAAGGUGCCCAUGUGCUUGAAUCCUGCAUCCAUGGCGUGCGAGUUCUGCAAAGCCUAGACAUCAGCGAUAACAAUCUUGAUGCUGAGCUAGCGCCCGUGCUGACAGCCAUUUCGAAGAAUCCCUCGAUUCGGACGCUUCACCUGACCCGCAGUCUAACGGGCAUGAAGCCGAAGCACAUUCCGCCCGUUAUGGACGCCCUGGUGAACCUCAUCCAGAAGGACGACUUCCCGCUGGUCGAGCUGGUACUGUCGGAGAACAAACUGAAGCACGACCUGCACGACUUCAUCAACGCGCUGGGCAGCAACCAAAGCCUUCAGAAGCUGGACAUCAGUGGAAACUUCAUGGGGGAUGUGGGCGCCCGACUCCUGGCCAAAGCUCUGCAGAUCAACAACCGGCUGCGUACCAUAUAUAUGGACAAAAACGGAGUGACGUUGCAGGGCUAUGCGGAUAUCGUUUACGCGUUAGAGCACAACCACAGCAUGCGCACCAUUCCCUUUCCCGUUUUCGAUAUUGCUCCGCAUCUGAAGAGCCACCCGGAUAAGACGGAUGCGGUGAUGCGUAAGAUGCAGGAGCUGCUGCAGCGCAACUGCAAUGGAUUGAAGCGGGCCACCGGACAAGGAUUCCGGCUGCAGCACGGCUUCAUGCUCUCCUCCACGCACCAGCUGGUGGAUAAGUUGGUGGCCGAGACGCAGGACACCAUUUCGCUGGCCAAGGGAGGCAGUGAAUCCGCCUCGGCGGUGCAGCGCCUGAUUACCGACGCCGAAAACUGCAAGCAACUGAUGCCAAAGCUGCAAGAGGCCGUUCGCAACGACAGUCAUCCCAUCGAAAUGAAGCUGACCCGAGUGGCCAGUGAACUGAGCUACACGAUUAAGAGUUAUCUGGAGGAGACCCUGGAGACGAUGAUGCGCACUGGCAUCGAGCAGUGUCCCAAAACGCUGGGCAACCAGAUCGUAGUUCAGGAUCUUCGAAAGGCUCUCGCCGAGCGUUUGGUGGUGCCCGAGGAAUUCCUGCAGAUCUGUCUGCUCAACAACGCCGGCAGCGAGAUUAUGAACAAAGUUGGUGAGAUCGAACAAUCCCUGGCCGCCGCCAUCUCAGAUCGGGCUACGGAUGAGGUGCUGGAUGCCCUGACCCGCUACCGCCGUGGCAUGGGCAUUGCGGAGUCGCCAUCGGUGCUGCUGGACGAACCGCAGACGCCGGACAUCGUGCGCAGUCGCUCCAGUCAUGAUGCGGAUGGUUUGAUCAUACGACCGGGUGGACGAGGCUCGAUAUUGCCCAAACUGGGCUUGGAAUCGCCCACUAAAUUGGAAUAUCUCAACCUUGCCACACCGCAUCUGCCCACCAAGCGACGCAGUCUGGCAAAGAAGGUGCGUCCCCAGUCCGUGGUGGAGAAUCUCAGCCUGGGCCACUUCCCUGACCUCCUGGAGUCACCCUCCUCGCACCGCUCCAACUCCCAGUUGUCUGCCCGUGCAGCUGCAGGUGCCGCCGCCUUGGUGGGAGCCGCCAAUAUGACCGACAGCAUCGCUGUGGACGACGGAGGAGUGGAUGAGUGUUGCGACUCCAUCACCGAGCUGCCCAGCGCCUCGUUCCAGCUCCAGCAUCUGGUCAAAGGUCGCCCAAAGCGGGCCAAAACGCGUGCACCCACUCGGCCGUUGGUCACCACCGAGUGUGCCGGGGGCAGCAGGGAAAUUGGCGAAGGUUUGGAACACUUCUUCCGGCCCGGUUCUGUUACGCCCACUACCCUGACUCCCCUAGUUUCUCCUACGUCGGAGGAAUGCAGCUCCUUGUCGUUUGUGGACAGUCCCACGAUGAGCCGCGAUGGGAAUGGACACAUGACCUCCGAGGAGACCACUCCCAUUCUGGAGGAACGCCGACCAAUUAAAUUGGAGCGCCAGUCGCCAUUGCUCAAAAGUGCGUCAUGGGCCACCCGCUCCCGGUCCACGGACAAUCUAGAGAAGUAUUCGCCACUGGUGGGUCGUAAGUCCCCGCUGGUCAAGAUGCGAACAGAAGGAGGUCCCGGCUCGGGAUCUGCCGGCGGCGCUGAGGAGACGUCCAUGCCCAGUUCUAAUCUGCUUAAGGCAACCGCCAGAGAGGACAAAACGCGUUCGCCCAGCAGCGAUUCGAUCAAAAGCCAUGCCGCAGGCGAGGGUAGUGUGAUUGUGAAGACUGGCAACGGCAUCCUGCGAACACCCAUAGUUCUGCAGAAGCCGCGUCCGUGGUCAGUUGUGGGAAGCGAGCCAAAGGCAGGAGGGGAUCUUAUUACAGGCAAUGGGAAUGCCGACUCCAGCAAGACCACGCCGGACAAACUAGAAGAAGAUGACGUCGAGGUAGUGACAUUUGGAAAUACCUGCAGUGGCUCAAUUGUUGGCAUCACGCCGGGCAUAGCUUUAUCCACCAGUGGCGGUGGAAGCAUUGUGGGCAUUACACCAGGAGGUGCCCUCGAAAAGAAGUCUGUGCGAGAACUAGCAGCGGGUCUCAACAGAAUGGAACUCCCCCUAAAGCCGCCCGUUAUGCCAAGAACCCUGCUGAACGCGACGAGUGCGCGCACGAGCACGUCCUCCACAGGCUCAGGCUCAGGCUCCACCUCCAAUAGUGUAUCAGUCAGCUCAUCCACGACCGCCAACACUUCGAUGACAGUAUUAAACCAGAGCCAGACCCGAUCACGGAUCGUGAGCUCGACCAGCAGCACUGGCAGCACCGAGACCAUCACAGAGCGCAGCACCACCAGCACUAGCAGCAGCUCAUCCAGCAGCCACGAGAAGCAGCAUGCCAAGGCCUGUGCCAAUUUAAUCAGCAACGAAAUCCUCAGUAUGCGCAACGGACAGUUGGGCGCCAAGUCUGGAAGCUGCGCUGAAAGUGGUGGUGUGAAGCGGAUCGCCGGCAAGGAGAUCUCCACGCUUUUCGAGGUUUGAUCUCCGAGGCCGGAGCUGCAAUGCGAUAACUUGUAUUCAUCACCGAUCAAAAUUGGGUGGCUACUUCGCUUCGUUGAUUUCGGUGCUCAUCCUGAGACAUUAGUUGAAGAACUGCAGCAGAGCAUGGCGACCAGACGCGGUUUUAGAGACUCGGCCUACACCAAGGAGGAUGUCGUUGAU